GCUCAGGAUGAACGCUGGCGGCGUGCUUAACACAUGCAAGUCGAACGAAGCGCUUAAACGGAUUUCUUCGGAUUGAAGUUUUUGCGACUGAGUGGCGGACGGGUGAGUAACGCGUGGGUAACCUGCCUCAUACAGGGGGAUAACAGCUAGAAAUGACUGCUAAUACCGCAUAAGCGCACAGUGCUGCAUGGCACAGUGUGAAAAACUCCGGUGGUAUGAGAUGGACCCGCGUCUGAUUAGCUAGUUGGUGGGGUAACGGCCUACCAAGGCGACGAUCAGUAGCCGGCCUGAGAGGGUGAACGGCCACAUUGGGACUGAGACACGGCCCAAACUCCUACGGGAGGCAGCAGUA
rnacentral:rRNA from 1 species